CCCAGACUCCUACGGGAGGCAGCAGUGGGGAAUAUUGCACAAUGGGGGAAACCCUGAUGCAGCGACGCCGCGUGAGUGAAGAAGUAUUUCGGUAUGUAAAGCUCGAUCAGCAGGGAAGAAAAUGACGGUACCUGACUAAGAAGCCCCGGCUAACUACGUGCCAGCAGCCGCGGUAAUACGUAGGGGGCAAGCGUUAUCCGGAUUUACUGGGUGUAAAGGGAGCGUAGACGGCCAGACAAGUCUGAAGUGAAAAUCCAGCGCUUAACGUUGGAAGUGCUUUGGAAACUGCCGGGCUGGAGUGCAGGAGGGGCAGGCGGAAUUCCUAGUGUAGCGGUGAAAUGCGUAGAUAUUAGGAGGAACACCAGUGGCGAAGGCGACUUUCUGGACUGUACCUGACGCUGAGGCGCGAAAGCGUGGGUAGCGAACGGGAUUAGAUACCCUGGUAC
rnacentral:rRNA from 1 species